rnacentral:rRNA from 1 species
UACGGGGGGAGCAAGCGUUGUUCGGAUUUACUGGGCGUAAAGGGCGCGUAGGCGGUCGUGACAAGUCACUUGUGAAAUCUCCGGGCUUAACUCGGAACGGUCAAGUGAUACUGUCGGACUAGAGUACAGAAGGGGCAACUGGAAUUCUCGGUGUAGCGGUGAAAUGCGUAGAUAUCGAGAGGAACACCGAUGGCGAAGGCAGCACUCUGGGACGGUACUGACGCUGAGACGCGAAAGCGUGGGGAGCGAACAGG